rnacentral:tRNA from 1 species
AAGAUACUAGUAAAUUAUUACAUAGUCCUGUCAGUGCUAAAUAACAGAUAUAAUCUGUGUAUCUUU